rnacentral:rRNA from 1 species
CCUACGGGUGGCUGCAGUGAGGAAUAUUGGUCAAUGGACGAGAGUCUGAACCAGCCAAGUAGCGUGAAGGAUGACUGCCCUAUGGGUUGUAAACUUCUUUUAUAAAGGAAUAAAACGAGGCACGUGUGCCUUUUUGCAUGUACUUUAUGAAUAAGGAUCGGCUAACUCCGUGCCAGCAGCCGCGGUAAUACGGAGGAUGCGAGCGUUAUCCGGAUUUAUUGGGUUUAAAGGGUGCGCAGGCGGUCUGUUAAGUCAGCGGUCAAAGCCCGGGGCUCAACCCCGGCCCGCCGUUGAAACUGGCAGUCUCGAGUUGGAGAGAAGUAUGCGGAAUGCGCGGUGUAGCGGUGAAAUGCAUAGAUAUCGCGCAGAACUCCGAUUGCGAAGGCAGCAUGCCGGCUCCACACUGACGUUGAGGCACGAAAGCGUGGGGAGCAAACAGGAUUAGAUACCCUGGUAGUC